rnacentral:rRNA from 1 species
AUUGAACGCUGGCGGCAGGCCUAACACAUGCAAGUCGAGCGGUAGAGAGAAGCUUGCUUCUCUUGAGAGCGGCGGACGGGUGAGUAAUGCCUAGGAAUCUGCCUGGUAGUGGGGGAUAACGUUCGGAAACGGACGCUAAUACCGCAUACGUCCUACGGGAGAAAGCAGGGGACCUUCGGGCCUUGCGCUAUCAGAUGAGCCUAGGUCGGAUUAGCUAGUUGGUGGGGUAAUGGCUCACCAAGGCGACGAUCCGUAACUGGUCUGAGAGGAUGAUCAGUCACCCUGGAACUGAGACACGGUCCAGACUCCUACGGGAGGCAGCAGUGGGGAAUAUUGGACAAUGGGCGAAAGCCUGAUCCAGCCAUGCCGCGUGUGUGAAGAAGGUCUUCGGAUUGUAAAGCACUUUAAGUUGGGAGGAAGGGCAGUAAAUUAAUACUUUGCUGUUUUGACGUUACCGACAGAAUAAGCACCGGCUAACUCUGUG